UACCGCGUGAGGGAAGACGGCCUAUGGGUUGUAAACCUCUUUUUUCAGGGAGGAAUAACUGACGUGUACCUGAAGAAUAAGCAUCGGCUAACUCCGUGCCAGCAGCCGCGGUAAU
rnacentral:rRNA from 1 species